AACGAACGCUGGCGGCGUGCCUAACACAUGCAAGUCGUGCGAGAAAGUUCCUUCGGGAGCGAGUAAAGCGGCGCACGGGUGAGUAACACGUAGGUAACCUGCCCCCCAGUCUGGAACAACUAGAGGAAACUCUAGCUAAUGCCGGAUGAGACCACGAUCCCUUCGGGGGUUGCGGCCAAAGAUGGCCUCUACUUGUAAGCUAUCGCUGAGGGAUGGGCCUGCGGCCAUUAGCUUGUUGGUGAGGUAACGGCUCACCAAGGCUGUGAUGGCUAGCUGGUCUGAGAGGAUGACCAGCCACACUGGGACUGAGACACGGCCCAGACUCCUACGGGAGGCAGCAGUGGGAAUAUUGCGCAAUGGGCGAAAGCCUGACGCAGCGACGCCGCGUGGGUGA
rnacentral:rRNA from 1 species